rnacentral:rRNA from 1 species
CCUAUAAGACGAAAAGACCCCAUGGAGCUUCAAACCCAACUACACCCUUAACUACCACAACCACACAACCUCUUAGGGCCCUGUAUAGUUGGUUUUAGGUUGGGGCGACCACGGAGUACAACCAAACCUCCGCAAUGAACGGGACCACUCCCUUAUCUAAGAGCCACACCUCUAAGAAUUAAAACACUAACAUAAAAUGAUCCACGAUCUGAUCAAUGAACCAAGUUACCCUGGGGAUAACAGCGCAAUCCAUUUCAAGAGCCCCUAUCGACAAG